UGGGGAAUUUUGGACAAUGGGGGCAACCCUGAUCCAGCCAUGCCGCGUGAGUGAAGAAGGCCUUCGGGUUGUAAAGCUCUUUCGGCGGGGACGAAACGGUCCGUGACAACACCACGGACUAAUGACAGUACUCGCAGAAGAAGCACCGGCUAACUACGUGCCAGCAGCCGCGGUAAUACGUAGGGUGCAGGCGUUAAUCGGAAUUACUGGGCGUAAAGCGUGCGCAGGUGGCUCCUUAAGUCAGAUGUGAAAUCCCCGGGCUUAACCUGGGAACUGCGUUUGAAACUGAGGAGCUAGAGUGUGGAAGAGGGGGGUGGAAUUCCAGGUGUAGCAGUGAAAUGCGUAGAGAUCUGGAGGAACACCGAUGGCGAAGGCAGCCCCCUGGGCUAACACUGACACUCAUGCACGAAAGCGUGGGGAGCAAACAGGAUUAGAUACCCGUGUAGUCCCUGAGCGGGCUGGCAAGGCGCAU
rnacentral:rRNA from 1 species